rnacentral:rRNA from 1 species
CAGUCGCCGCGGUAAUACGGAGGAUCCAAGCGUUAUCCGGAAUCAUUGGGUUUAAAGGGUCCGUAGGCGGUCUUGUAAGUCAGUGGUGAAAGCCCAUCGCUCAACGGUGGAACGGCCAUUGAUACUGCAGGACUUGAAUUAUUGGGAAGUAACUAGAAUAUGUAGUGUAGCGGUGAAAUGCUUAGAGAUUACAUGGAAUACCAAUUGCGAAGGCAGGUUACUACCAAUUGAUUGACGCUGAUGGACGAAAGCGUGGGUAGCGAACAGGAUUAGAUACCCCCGUAGUCCCUGUCUCUUAUAU